UACAGAGGUCCCAAGCGUUGUUCGGAUUCAUUGGGCGUAAAGGGUGCGUAGGUGGCGCCGUAAGUCGGGUGUGAAAUUUCGGAGCUUAACUCCGAAACUGCAUUCGAUACUGCGGUGCUUGAGGACUGGAGAGGAGACUGGAAUUCAUGGUGUAGCAGUGAAAUGCGUAGAGAUCAUGAGGAAGACCAGUGGCGAAGGCGGGUCUCUGGACAGUUCCUGACACUGAGGCACGAAGACCAGGGGAGCAAACGAG
rnacentral:rRNA from 1 species